AAAGUAAAUCGCCUUAUCGCUAAAAACUCAACUUGAUUGAGUUUCUCUUUUUUUGAGAUUCCCGCAUUCGCGAGAAUUUAGAGGAAAGUCCGGACACCAUAGUGCAAUUAUAGUGGUUAACAGCCAUCCGCCGAAAGGUGAGGAAAAGUGCAACAGAAAGAAUGUACAGGUCAUGCUGUAGUGAAAUCAGGUAAACUCUAUAAGGUGCAAUACCAUGUAUAUUAACGUUUGAGUGCUGCACGCACGAUGUUAAAGGGUAGGUAGCUAAAGUGUGUUGGUAACAGCACAUUCAGAUAAAUGAUAAGGACGCUUUUGCGUACAGAAUCCGGCUUAUAGAUUUACUAUUUUA
rnacentral:RNase_P_RNA from 1 species